UCCUGAUGUACUUGGCGGCCCACUCACUGGCCUGAGAAUAGUGGUCCAGGAUGAUGAGCUUCAUCUUGUUCUGCGGGGGGCAGGGAAAUCUGGAAUCUGUGGAGUCAGCCUGGGGACAAAACACUGAGGCCUGGGUUUGAAUUCUGGUCUAGCCAAUCUCCACUUCUCGGACGCUGGACAGUCUAAUACGCUCCCUGCCUCUCACCUCGGGGAGGCCAGGUAACUUAGUUCUGACAAGGAAUUAAAAGGAUGGCUUCUGAGAAAAUACUUUUCUUUCUGAGAAAAGUGGAAAAAGCACAUGUGGCAAGAAAAUGAGAUCUCCCUACAGCCAUGGGAGGCAGCCAGUGGGUCAGCAGCCCCAGUCACGGCCUUGAGAUGACUGCAGGCCUGGUCAGUAUCCUGAGGAAAGUCUCCUGAGAAACACCGAACCCAAAUCACUCAGCUUAGUUGCUCCUGAAUUCCUGACCCACAGAAGUUAUGAGAUUUUAAAAAU